rnacentral:rRNA from 1 species
GACGAACGCUGGCGGCGUGCCUAAUACAUGCAAGUAGAACGCUGAAGGAGGAGCUUGCUUCUCUGGAUGAGUUGCGAACGGGUGAGUAACGCGUAGGUAACCUGCCUGGUAGCGGGGGAUAACUAUUGGAAACGAUAGCUAAUACCGCAUAAUAGUAGAUGUUGCAUGACAUUUGCUUAAAAGGUGCAAUUGCAUCACUACCAGAUGGACCUGCGUUGUAUUAGCUAGUUGGUGAGGUAACGGCUCACCAAGGCAACGAUACAUAGCCGACCUGAGAGGGUGAUCGGCCACACUGGGACUGAGACACGGCCCAGACUCCUACGGGGGGCAGCAGUAGGGAAUCUUCGGCAAUGGACGGAAGUCUGACCGAGCAACGCCGCGUGAGUGAAGAAGGUUUUCGGAUCGUAAAGCUCUGUUGUAAGAGAAGAACGAGUGUGAGAGUGGAAAGUUCACACUGUGACGGUAUCUUACCAGAAAGGGACGGCUAACUACGUG